AACGAACACCAGGGCUACAAGCGCAGCGGAGCCUGGGGCGACACUUUGCACGUAACGGACGUACUCUGCGCAUGCGUGGCAAACUGUCUGUGACCUGAAAUGAGAAAACCACAGGGUUCAGCUCUUGGAUGAUGGCGAUGACUGUACCACUCGAUACCUUGUCACUAAAGCUAAUGGCGCCGUACACGAAUGCACCAGAUUUCUGUGAAACAAAACUGCGUUAUGCCUGUUGCUAGAUGACAAAACAAAACUGCGUUAUGCCUGUUGCUAGAUGAUAAAACAAAACUACGUUAUGCCUGUGGCUAGAUG